rnacentral:rRNA from 1 species
UAGGGAAUCUUCGGCAAUGGACGGAAGUCUGACCGAGCAACGCCGCGUGAGUGAAGAAGGUUUUCGGAUCGUAAAGCUCUGUUGUAAGAGAAGAACGAGUGUGAGAGUGGAAAGUUCACACUGUGACGGUAUCUUACCAGAAAGGGACGGCUAACUACGUGCCAGCAGCCGCGGUAAUACGUAGGUCCCGAGCGUUGUCCGGAUUUAUUGGGCGUAAAGCGGGCGCAGGCGGUUAGAUAAGUCUGAAGUUAAAGGCUGUGGCUUAACCAUAGUAGGCUUUGGAAACUGUUUAACUUGAGUGCAAGAGGGGAGAGUGGAAUUCCAUGUGUAGCGGUGAAAUGCGUAGAUAUAUGGAGGAACACCGGUGGCGAAAGCGGCUCUCUGGCUUGUAACUGACGCUGAGGCUCGAAAGCGUGGGGAGCAAACAGGAUUAGAUACCCUGGUAGUCCACGCUGUAAACGGUGAGUGCUAGGUGUUAGACCCUUUCCGGGGUUUAGUGCCGUAGCUAACGCAUUAAGCACUCCGCCUGGGGAGUACGACCGCAAGGUU